rnacentral:rRNA from 1 species
GUAUUAAAGGUGUUGCCUGCCCAGUGAGACAUCUUCAACGGCCGCGGUAUCCUAACCGUGCAAAGGUAGCGUAAUCACUUGUCUUUUAAAUAAAGACUCGUAUGAAAGGCUAAAUGAGGACGAAACUGUCUCUUAUAAUCAACCAGUGAAACUGACCCCCAAGUACAAAAGCUUGGAUAAACACAUAAGACGAGAAGACCCUGUGGAGCUUAAAACUAACACUAUAAGAAAAUAGCACAAGUUUUAAGUUGGGGCGACUUCGGAACAAAACAAAACUUCCGAGCACAGAGCCAACCGCUCUCACCCAGACCCACAAGUCAAAGACAACAACGACCCAGUCACACUGAACAACGAACCAAGUUACCCCAGGGAUAACAGCGCCAUCUUCUUCAAGAGUCCCUAUCGACAAGAAGGUUUACGACCUCGAUGUUGGAUCAGGACACCCAAAUGG